ensembl:lncRNA
GUUCAGAGACUGUGACAGUCGAGAUUGAGAACAAGAAAGAAGUGAGACAGAGAAGCACGAUGGAUGAAUUCAGAUGGAUUCAAAUGUUUUUAUGUCUGAUGCUGAUGAUUCAGAUUGCAGUAUCUGUAAAUGAAACAUCCAUGUUUAUGAAAGUUGGAGAUGACGUCACUCUGCUUUGUCUGAAUGUGAUAGAUGAGCAGAAUAACUGUAAUGGUACUACGUGGGUCUUUACUCCAAGAAACAGAGAAACAACAGUAGAGCUGAUCACACUUGGACAGAUUAGUACAGAAGCCAAGACUAAAUCAGACAGACUGAGUGUUACAGCGAACUGUUCUCUGCUUAUAAAGAAGCUCACAGUUGAGGAUGUUGGUCUUUAUUCCUGUCGACAAUACAAAGUCGAGGAAACACCAUCUAAACACACUCUGGUUCGUCAGUCUUUGGUUCAUCUCUCUGUUAUUACCUUGACUGAACAUAAGAACACUGAUGAGGUGACAUUAAGCUGCUCUGUGGUGACAUAUGCAGAGUGUCAUCACACAGUGAAGUGGCUGCUUAAAGGUCAAGAUGUGGACAAAGAGAACAAACAAUUAGUGACUUCACAGACUGACUGCUCCACCACUCUGUCUGUUCCAAAGUCUCACUUUCUCCACUCAUCAACUGAUAAAAUACUCGACUGUGAGGUGACUGACACUAAAUCAGGAAGAGUACAGGUGUUUAGCCCACAGCCCUCAGGUGAGAAAACAGUUGACCCAAAAACAACAACAAAAAUGAACAGAAAAUCUGAAAGCGACACAACAUCAGGAACAACCACAAUAACAAAAAGUAGUCCUUCCAUAACAGAUCUUUCACUGUACAUCACCGGAGCUGUUGGUUUGGUUAUACUGUUAGUAACAGCUGUGUUUGUCAUCAGAUGGAAGAAAAAUAAAGGAAACAAAACACAGAUGUAUGAAAAUGCUGGACUGAGUUUGAAGCCCACAGAGACUCGGUCUGCUCCUCAAACCAUUCAGGACUUGGUGGAGCCUGAAGUUUCCUAUGCCACCAUCAGCUACACCAAGAAUAGCAACAGUAAAACCCGGGUUCAUCGUGAUGGUGAAGGCGAUGCUGUGACCUACAGCACUGUGAAGGCUCCUUCCUCUGCAUCCACUGCUGAUCCCAGCAACCUCUACUCUACUGUCAAUGUUGCAAUCACAUAGCUCAAGCAGUUGAAAAAAGCACUCGUAUUUAAUGGAAAGGAAAUUUUUGUUUUGACUUGAGGCAGUGUGAUCGCAACAUGUUAAUUAAGUUAUUGCUGUUGUUAGCUAGAUUGCCUCACAAGGUUGUCUUAAUGUUGUUCUCAUGGAUGCUGAGCUUAAUGUUUCCAAGAGAUUUAGUAAAAUGCCGGUUAUUGGAAGAGUGCCGAGCUGAAACCCCCACAGGCAACUCGUGUCCCCCCCAAAGAAACAUCAACACUUAAAUUAAAAAAUAAUCAUUUUUUACAAUAUGUUUAUGAAAUACAGUUGGUUUCGUUGCUACUUUUACAUGUCUAUGAACUGCUCAGAAUCUCUAAGAGACGGCUGGGUGAGCAGAAAACAAUUAUUACACCAAACAGUCAUGUUUAUGUUUCCUUUUUUAGGUUAGCACAAAACUGUGUAAAUAAAUGUCUCUUUCUCUCUUUGUCUCUCAAGACAUUGUAAACAUUUCAUUGUAUAUAACUGAACCAGUAUUUUUCCAUAACUUAAAGCAAGUAUCAAUAUCUACAUGUAUCCAAAAAGCCAUUCAGUUCUGUGUAACUAAAAUAGCAAUAAAAUAAAGAUCUGUCUCUGUUUUGUAAUCCA